UCUUUUUCAGAUCCAGCUGCAGUCGGGUGGACAGUGCGCUGAGCCCAGGCGCCGGCCAAGGGGCCUCUUCUGCUGGACUAACGGCACUCACUCACUCCCCCACUCCCCCACGAACUUUUCCAGGAAUGUUGCGUGAAAUCGCAUUCACAGCUUGACGUCAGCCAUGGCCAGACAUUACAUCACAGAAAAGAGCAAAUGCUAUUUCGUGAGCACGUUACCGGUCAGCAGUGACCAAGACCCAGUGCCUGCCCUGGCAGAGCUCUGUCCUAAGGAGCGGGGCACAAACACACGGGAAUAUGAUAAAUGCUAUGAUGGAAAAGCAUGGAACCCACGAGAGCAUAUCAUAUAAACGAUCCCAAGAAGGCUUCCCUAGGGACGUGAAAUUUGAAACUUGAAGGACGAGGAGAUUUAAGUAGACAAAGGAUGCAGAGAACUGUGUUUCAGGGAGAAGGAACAGCAUGUGCAAAGCCCUGUGCCAAGAGAGAGAGAAGGUAAAUCUGAGCGAUGUUGCUGGAGGAGGUGGCAACAGAGUAGGAAUGACGGGACCAGUUUGGUGUGGUGAGCAUCAAGGCCAAGUGUGGCUUCAGGCAAAACUAGGACUUUGAUUUUUAUGCUGAGACAAUUUGAGCAAGGCUCUCCUCGGAUUGCACUGGGGAUGAUCUUGUCCGUUCCUUCUUUUGUACUGCAUCACACCAGAAGAUUCUAUGAACUCAUUUUAUGGUACAGAUCUUUCUAUCUCCUUUACAGCUGAGGAGGCAGGAGACUGCUCCAUCCCUUCCUGACAUGGCUUUUGCUAAUGAAGAAGACUUGCAUUUCAAGCUGGGCGCUGUGGCACACGCCUGUAAUCCCAACAGCUCGGGAGGCUGAGGCAGGAGGAUCAGGAGUUCAAAGCCAGCCUCAGCAAAGGUGAGGCCCUAAGCAACUCAGUGAGACCCUGUCUCUAAAUAAAAUAUAAACUAGGGCUGGGGAAGUGGCUCAGUGGUCGAGUGCCCCUGGGUUCAAUACCUGGUACCUGUCCACCCACCCCCAAAUAAAAACACUUUCAUUUCAAAAAUCAGCCUCUGGAAGUUCUGAUGAGACCAGAAUAAGUCAAAAGGCAGAGCUGGAGACAGCAGCACUGCACUGGCAAUGAAAUCUGUUUCAUGGCUUCCCUUUAGCCCAAGAUGAUCUCUGAAGUGAGGUCAGGGGUCAGUGUGGGGGCCAUCAGCUCACGACAGAACAGCCUGAGCGACAUGGUCAGAGAGAAGACUCGGGGCCCAGACAGCCGCUUCCAGCAUCUCUGGUCUUGGUGUGGGGGACAGAGCCAACGUACCCGUGACCACAGAGGACAGGAUGAGGACCAGGAGGGGGCACUUAGAAGUGGGCCACCUAUAGUCCACAAUGAAGAAGGCCUUCCCUGACUGGCCGAGGCGGGCCAUGAGGUGGUUCUUGGUAACUGGUCUUGCAGAAAUCCGGGGAGCAGACCUCUCUUUCUCCCCGACACUUGGAGAGUGCUCAGAGCCUCUGCGGUCAGGGGGUGGUCAACGCUGCUCUCCUGCCGGUGCUUCCUGCUCCUGUGUGGCCUUGAGGCAGCUGCCCAAGCUCUCUGGACUGCAUCGAGAACUGCGGUCAGUUUUAGUAGCCGCCUCGCAGAGCUGU
rnacentral:lncRNA from 1 species